CGGAGGAUGCAAGCGUUAUCCGGAUUCAUUGGGUUUAAAGGGUGCGUAGGCGGACCUGUAAGUCAGGGGUGAAAUCCGGCAGCUCAACUGUCGAACUGCCUCUGAUACUGCAGGUCUUGAGUCAACAUGAAGCAGGCGGAAUAUGACAUGUAGCGGUGAAAUGCAUAGAUAUGUCAUAGAACACCGAUAGCGAAGGCAGCCUGCUAAAGUUGUACUGACGCUGAUGCACGAAAGCGUGGGUAGCGAACAGGAUUAGAUACCCUGGUAGUCCACGCCGUAAACGAUGAUCACUCGCUGCAUGCGAUAGACAGUAUGUGGCCAAGCGAAAGCGUUAAGUGAUCCACCUGGGGAAUACGAUCGCGAGGUUG
rnacentral:rRNA from 1 species